GGGACUGAGGCAAACGUCUGAAGGUCUGGGCUUUGGGAGCCAUUCUGCAUCCCUUGAAGCAUGUAACCAGCUGGUGGGUAAGUAAUCCUGAUGGAUAAGUGGGACUGAGGAAGGGUUAGCACAGUGGCAUCUCUGUAAAAUGUUGUCUUGGUCAUUGAGUUAGUUUAGUAAAAGGCUGUUGUUGUUCUGAGUUGUGUUUCAGGAUCACUAUAAUGAAAUCUUUUAUGUGAGUGCAGGAGAGCGACUUCUUUUCGCAUUUUGUGUUGCUCAAGCAGAUGUUCUAGAAACUAGCAAAAGAAUGUGCUAUUUAAGAGGGAUGUUUCAAGGCUCCUGCUGUCUCCUAGUAGAAUGCCCAUGUUUGGGGUUAUUUUAUGCCUGAGUAUAUCAGCUGAUAAAAGUUUCCCCAAAGUAAGAUAUAAAAAACUGAGGUUAAGCACAAGUUCAGGAGGAGCCUACGUCAGAAAAUUCCUGUGCUCAUUUCUUCCCUUGGGCCUGACCCCAUUGCCCCUGCCAGGCAGGAAGGAGCCCUCCCUGCUCAUAGCAGGUUGUUCUUCCAACCACCAUGACAGACGGCUGGGCACGGAGCCUUCGGCAAAAGAAAAGAUGAGAGAUAAGUUACUGGUAGCAUAAUCCCAGCAUGUCUUAGAAAGAUGAGCUUGGAAAGAGAUUUCCUGCUCUCAGGUGAAAUUCAGCACUGAGUUUGUAGCUGGAGUAUUGUGGUUUCUGAAAAUCUCCAUACAGACACAUGCAUGCUUGCAGAUGCACACACAAAUCACUGCUGCGAAUGAACUCUGUUGCAACCAGGCAGCUUUGUGUAAUUUUUGCCAUCCACAUUUUCCAGUUCUGAAAAGAAAGUGCAAAUGAAAAUGUGAAAACAGGAAUGGUGUUUGCUCCCUGGGUUUUCUGUGUUAGAGCCAAGAGAGAUAUAAAAAGCCAACAGAAGCUUGGAAACUGUAACCUUGGGACUUCAUUUGGCCCUGCAAAUCCUUCUCUAAGCACCUUCUGAAAAGCAAGGCAGUGAAAUCCCGGAGUAGGCAAUAACAUUAUAUGCUAUAGAACUUCUGGAAUUCAAUAUUUUUAUUAAGGAGCCUUCAGAUUUUGUUUGCAAGUGACUGAAGGGACAUAGUGGCACCACUGCCACUGGCUUCAGAGAGGACUUUUGUCGCCAAAUCACAGUGUCGCUUUCAAAAAUCUUACCUCAAGUUCUCAACCCUUAGCACUCAUUCCUGGAUGUCCAGAAUCCAAAUCUGUCUGUCUAGCUGUUUCCUUCUGAAGGCAGAGCACAUCCUCAUGAAGCAAAGUAGGCACCUCCAGGGACUUGUUUCCAUAACAACCUCCCAGACUGUUUCUCUUUAGCCUGUGACAGUGGCUACAAGCAAAAGCACUCAUUGCGUAUUUUCAGCUUUCAGAUGUUAGCACCUUGUCUUUAUAGCUGUUUCUUUGCUUACUGAACAUGAUCCCACCACCUUAUAUCAUGUACAACUGUCCUGUCCAACUUCAGACAGACAGUUGUCAGCAUGUGAAAGCAAAGAGUGCAAACCAGGAGAUGGGAAGGGAUUGUAUUUGUAUAUCCUUGCACAGAGAGAGGUGGGGAGUGUGUGAAGGACAAUCUGAGCACUCACAGUCAAGGAUCUGAGGGGCAACUGGCCUGUGAAUGUAGAGUCAACUGGGUGCCCAGUGACAAGGAAUACAAGCUAAAGCAUCACAUUGAAAAACCCAGAAACUCCCCUUUCAACAAUCUUGCUGGGAAAUAGUUUUGCUGUGGAAGAGUCCAUGGCUCUUUCCCAAACCCUUGGCUGUCCUGCAACAUCAGUUCCCCAGGUAAUUUCCCCAUGGGAUGUUUUACACCAAAGCAGGACAAGGCAGAAAGCAUCUCACUGGAGGUGGGGAAGGAAGGAAAAGAAGAAUUUUACUGAGGACACCUUUUUUUUUAGUCCGCAACUCAUUGACCACAUCAAAGACUGUAAGUGUGAAAGGCAUGAAGAGCUGUUUUGUGAUAUUUCAAAGCCUGCAUUACUGGUGUAUCCCUGCACUUACCUCCAAGAUGAAAUUCCUAUUCUGCUCCUGCUUGGAAGAAGUCACAGUUCAGGAUUUCUGAGUAAUUUUCUGGUUUGGCCCUGUUCCUUUUGAUCCAGCUUUCAUGGAUAAAAAUUCACUGCUACAGGAGCUAUGGAGGUGAAGGUGACCGGACUUGGUGUUCUCUCCUAGGCCCCCUUGUUCAGUGUACAGAGAUCCCUAUGGAGGUGAAGAAGAAUGAGUAUAAAGGAAAUUCAGGGCAGCAAAAGACAGGGUAAGGACUGAAGUGUCUUCCAUACUGUGAUGGAAAAAGCAGCAUCAAUCCUAAAAGCAAAGGAACAAACAGCUCCAGCGUCUGCUGCUUUAGCAGAAGUAGGUCCUGUUUAUAUCAGCGUAAGAUCUGCAGAUCACAGCAGGAGUUAACCACAGCAUUCCCAAAAGCUCUUAUGUGACUUAAGUCCAACACAAAAAUCUGCAGGGAAAAGCUUACAUUAAAGAAACUUCAGUGAGGGAAUUUUGCUUUGAAGAUCAGCACAGAUUUAGCCUGCAAAUCGGAUUUCUCACAGUUCUGGUGAACUCGAAGCAAGCAGGCCAUACAUUUUGUUGGCAGAGCUGUCUUAGGAAACUUUUUGAAAAGCUGGGUUCUGGAUGCUGCAAGGCUGUCAGGAUGCUGCAAAAGACAUUGUUGCAUCUUCUUACCGCAGAGUUGGAGAAGUUUCUCUGUGUGCAGGGAAUACAACAUGUAUGGACAGGAAACUGGUUUCCUUGGUUUGUGGUUUUCUUGUUGCUGUUCUUUUUUAAGGGAUUAACACUCUUAGUUUCAGGAAACUGAAACUAGAUUUGAACAGGGAUUGGAGGGAGGAGGCAGGGUGAAUCCCAUGCAAGAGUCAAAUUUGUCUUGUUUCUGGGAGAACUAAAUAAAGCUGAAUUCAAUUGCCAGUGGCUAAAUAACAGCAAUUUAUGAACUGUUCAUCAAAAGCCCCAGUCAAGCACUGAGUACUGUGAGAAGCUGGAAAUUGACGCUGGGCACCUCCAAAAGACUCCGUUGCUGAAACUUAUUUUAAACCUUUUUCAAGUGGAGGAUCUAGUCCUGGCAAAUGCAUAAAGUCAGCCCUUUUAAGAGCAAAUAGCUUUCUCUAGAGAAUCUAACAAGCAGCUAAAGUCUGUCCGUUUGUCUGCCUGUCUUUUGGCCUUGGAUUACUGUGCUAUUUCAAAGUGUGUUUUCAUAACUCAUAAGUGGUAGAUGUUUCACAUAGCUCUACAAGUAGUAAUCAUGUUUGUGCGUAAUAUCCAAUAUCUAAGGGAUGGGCCCAAACCAGAAGUAUUUCUUGUUUACCUAUGAAGUGUCCUGCUUUAGCGUAUGUACAGUCAGUUCUUGUGGUGAACAUGUGAGUCCAUUGCUGCUCUAAAGGAGGUAGUGACUUAGUUUCAGUGGCUGUAGAGAGUUUCACUGAAAUAGCACUAUUUGUAGUCUUUCAUGUGAUUUAGAAGGCACAAUAGCAAGACAGUUCUGAAAAUGUAAUAUAAUUGUUUGCAGAGUUCUAAGAAAAUGCUCUGAAGUCUUCUCCCAUUGUACCAUUGUGAUAAAAAACUGUUGCUUUUCAAGCUCCACAAGUCCAUGCUGUGUAGUGCUGAAACUGAUAGAAAACCCAAUUAGCACUGGAAAGUGAAGGGCAGAGUGGGCUACUCUGGCCUGGAAUCCCCUCCCUUUGGCAGUAGGAAAGGUCAGUCAUGCAGCCAAAUGCCUGUAACCAAACAUGGAUCCACCCUGUGUGUGUUGCCAGCUCUCUGCAUAGGAGAGUGGAAGGAUGGGUAGAAAGAAUGGAUUCUGGAAGGGGAGAGGCUGAGAGGAAGAGUGGAGUAAAAGAUACCCUGAGCAUGACAGCUGGGAUUUUCGGAAGGUACUCUGCUGGAUGCUGGGCAUCCAACUUCCCUAAGACUCUCUAUCAAUACACUCUCUACAUUUUCAUGAAUGGCUUUUGGCCUGUUUGUCAAUCCUCACAGUCAUUGUGUGAGGGAGAAGAGAUAGAAGGCAGCUCACUCUAAUUUGGCAGCUCUUGGCACCUGGAACAGUCUAGGACUGUAAUAUCUCCUCGUGGCUGUUGGCUGAGGGUCUGAUCCUCUGAUGAGCUGUGACUUCCUUACUACCAGUGACUCAAAACAGGUUUAUAGGACUGGGCUUACAGAAGGCCUAAGGUGCCAGAUCCAAAGAUGUUUUUGGAGCAGGUCUGCUUAGUAGUCCUCAGUAUGGAUAUGAGCACACAGUUCUUUGGAGGCAACAUUCACUCCACAUUCAUAUUGUUUGGGACUUUUCAGAGUGUAAGAUGCCUUUAGUAAGGUGUGAAUAUACUGCAGAAGUCUGUGGGUACCUUUCAGAUAUAUGGCAGGCAGGUCAGAGACUUUAGACCAUACUGUGUGCCAGCACAAACAGCAGGGAUGUUAGUUACAGGAUAGCUUUGCUUUUGCUGUGAAACCUUGCUGAAACGAUGCAUUAUCUCAAGGAAGACAGUUGGGAUUUGCAGGCCAGAUCAUGUGAAUAAAGAAUUGCAUAUCCCCUAUUGAAACUAGUCUGAUUUAUACAGGUAUGGUCCAAAAUUUCUGAGAAAUUGUGGAUGGUAGGGGUUUUUGUUUGUUUGUUGCACCGAAAACUUGAAGCCUUUCAAAUAAAGUAUGUGAGAUAAACAGA
ensembl:lncRNA